rnacentral:rRNA from 1 species
UGGUGACUAUAGCAAGGAGGUCACACCUGUUCCCAUGCCGAACACAGAAGUUAAGCCCCUUAGCGUCGAUGGUAGUCGAACUUACGUUCCGCUAGAGUAGAACGUUGCCAGGCA